UUCCUUCACGAUUGUCAUAACUUGAUUAUUUUUAUGGUAUGUUUUGCAUAGAUUUGCAGCAAGAGGAACUACAAAAUCAUUUCUAGCAUUUUUGCUGCGUGAUAGAAGAUUUGUUGUUGUAUUUGGCACGUGCAACAUAUCUCCUGCCAACAAUGUUGCUUUAUCGGCGUUUGUAGAUACAGAAAACUCGAUAUCUCGAACCCUCUCAGCAUUUAGUAUUGGCUUAUCAGUAGUAACGAUAUAAACUUCUUAUUUCUUCCUGAAGUUCUGGAAGGCUUGCCUCUGGGGUGAUAUGUGGAUUGAAGCUCCGAACUCGAUUACCCAAUCAAUAUUUGUGAUACUCGUGGCAGCGUCAGUAUUUUUGUGAUUUUUAUCACAAUCGUUUGUCGAAUAAUCAACUCUAUGACAAUCUUGACAAUGAGGAGUGUUGGAAAUCCUGCGAAACUCCGGACCCUCCCUUCCCCGCGACGACUCGCCGAUCGUAUGACCCCUGGGCCAUAACAAUCCAGUAUGUAUUACCAGAGGCCUAACUCGAAUAUUUUACUACUUCAGGUGCCACUUCCUGGACGUCUCAACCUCGGAAAUACCGGUCAAACGCUAAGGAAUAGGUCAAGUGGCGAGAAUUAGAUUGUUGCCCGUGACCCCACUCAUUAUCCUCACUCGCUGUGUGAAGCUCAGUCGAUUAGCGUUGCCGUGCAUUCGGACAAGUGUUCCAAUUGUUACGAUAAUAAAUUUCGGUGUAAUUCUCAUAAUUUAAUUAUAGUGACUGCUCGUGAAAUAUUCUCUGUAUUUACUCUAUUAUCAUUUUUGAAGUGAAACUUCUUUGCGCUCGUUGGGCUGUAAUUCCAAUAUCGUAUGUAACGAAAAAUCGACAGGAAAAGGGAGGGGAUGGCGCGCCUGGUGGAGCAGUCGGACAGAAGGAGACAUGGGAGAGAGACGAAAACGCAAUAGAUUCGGAGUAGCAAAAAACGAGAGCGGGGUCGCAUGCGUAGCGUAAUGAAGCUCCUUUAGGGAAAUGAUUUUAUGUGGACUAAGUGAGAACAAGCAUCGUUAUGAAAAACAUAAGAAAAAUGUAUAUCAUAGCUGAUAGCAUGUUUUCGAAUUCGUAAUAAUAAUAAUCAAUUUGUAAUAAAUCGUAGGGAGAUGAAAUUUAUAGGAAAACGCACUGUUCGAUAAAAUGGCUUCAUUCUAUACUGUAGAAUUGAGGAAUUUUCUUCGAAUAUGCCACGAACAAAUAUUGUACUUCAUAGUAACUUUUCCGGAGUUGCCAUGGUAAUUGAAAAAAAAAUUGUAAAAAAAGGAAUAAAAAAUCACGCGCAAUUGUCACAUUAUUUUGCUUUUACUGAGACAAAACAUUUGCUCUGCUUAAAAGAAACACAAUUCAGCAGGAGAAAAUUUGAGGGGCUGCUGAAGAUUUCCCCCAACAAAAAGUUACAGCUCAUAGUCGCCGACGUGUCGUAAGGCUUUAAACCAGGCUUUAAACUUUAAACGCUUUUUUCUCGAAUCAUCAUUGUCUGAAACUGUCAUGGUCCUAGAAAAAAAAAACAACAUGAACAGCCGCCAUCACCAUGACCAGUGAACUACCUUUUUUUGUUGGGGACUACUUUGGCUUUAAAAAAAUAUAUAUUAAAAAUUUUAAAAAGAAAAAGAAAAAAAUUUUUUUUUUGUACAUUUCAAAAUACAAAUAAAAACAUAUUAAAAAA